AGUCUCUAUCUCUUCAGCGCGGUGUCAGCUUUCAAUGGGGCUUCUCAUUGCGAGAAUCGCGCGCUCACGAGGGGUUUGGCGGGCCGAAACCUUGCAGUCACGCGAGAAAACAGCCUACUCUCACGCGCGCUCUGUCUUUGUUCCAAGAUUGAUUGAACGACUCGUGUGUUUCUCUUCCUCCUGAAAAUUGCUAUGAAGCUAGAUAACAUGCUAAUGCUGUGUUCUGAACAUAGUUUUACAAGUUUAGUCGACAUAUAAUAUGUAAUUUCGACGUUUUGGUGCGCACCCACUUGACUUUUGGCUGCAUUUCAACUGAAAUGUGUCGUGUUUGAUCACCGAAAGACACAGACUUCCAGACUAAAGCUGUUUUUGGUUAAGCAAAGCUGCUAUGCCUACGGAACUAAAGAAUCCCAUGAUCCUUCCCAAAGACUCCUACAUCUCCAGACUGAUCUUACUCCACAUCCAUGGGCAGGUUGGCCACUCUGGGAGAGGUCACAUGCUUUCUAGACUUCACCAGCGAUAUUGGAUACCCUGUGCCAACUCCUUAGCAAGGAAGAUCCUUAAGAGCUGUGUCUUCUGCAGGCGGAUGCAAGCUAGAGCUGGAGAACAGAAGAUGGACGACCUUCCACAAGAUCGGGUGUCACCUGAUUUGCCGCCUUUCACCCAUGUGGGCAUAGAUUACUUCGGCCCCAUAGAGGUGAAGCGAGGCCGCGUUCAUGUGAAGCGGUAUGGUGUGAUCUUUACUUGCCUUGUGAGUCGAGCUGUCCAUCUAGAAGUUGCUAGUUAUCUGGAUACUGAUUCCUGCAUCAAUGCCCUGCGCAGGUUCAUCUGUCGAAGGGGCCCAGUAACAAGUAUCAGAACAGACAAUAACACCAACUUUGUUGGAACACACAGAGAGCUAGGAGAAGCUCUGAAAGAGCUGGAUCACAACAAGAUUCAAAAUGAAUUACUGAAGGAAGGAGUGACAUGGUCAUUCAACCCUCCCUCUGGAGCCCACCAUGGGGGGGUAUGGGAGAGGUUGAUCCGACUGGUGAAAAAUAUCCUCUAUUCAGUCCUUAAAGAGCAAGUACUGGAUGAUGAGGCUUUGCAGACAGCCUUGUGUGAAGUUGAGGCGAUUAUGAACGACAGACCAAUCACUCCUGUAACAAAUGACCCUAAUGAUCUAGAACCCCUGACUCCGAACCUUCUGCUUCAUCUGAAAGCUAAGCCAGUCCUGCCACCAGGACUAUUCCAGAGAAGCGACCUAUACUCACGAAGGAGAUGGAAGCAAGUACAAUAUAUCACUGACCUCUUCUGGAAGAGAUGGAUCAGGGAGUAUCUUCCACUUAUGUAGGAGCGGAUCAAGUGGAACAAAACUAAGAGAAACUUCAGUCCUGGUGAACUCGUGGUCAUCAUCGAUGACACCGCCCCAAGGAACUCUUGGCUAAUGGGGCGUGUGGUGGAGGCUUUGCCAGGGGGCAAAGGUCUUGUCCGGAGCGUCAUGGUUAAGACUAAGACCAAUAUUUUACAGAGACCUAUCAAUAAACUCUGUCUGCUCCUUGAGGCGACGGAGUGAAACACACACACACACACACACACACACACACACACACACAGUGCUCCAUCUUAGAAUCACGUGCACCUCUGAUUCGUUGAUGUCGUACUCUUACAUUCUUUGAUGUCAUAGUCAUACAUUUUUGGAUGUCAAACUCUUGACAUUUUUGGAAGUUGAACACCUUUACACUUCAACUCAGACUGAGAUCUAUGGACUAUUUUCCUAUAUGGCACCUUGUAUAUUUGUAUAUAGCUAUGAACUGUAAUAGUGCUCUGGUAUAGAAUGUUUUGUGUAUUGGCUCUACGUUUGAAUAUUAAGUAAUUGUUGUGCAUUCAGUGCAGUCAACAAUUAGGGGCCGGUAUGUUAGAGCCGAUUUGGACAUACAGUGCCUUGCGAAAGUAUUCGGCCCCCUUGAAGUUUGCGACCUUUUGCCACAUUUC
ensembl:lncRNA